rnacentral:tRNA from 1 species
AUUUAAAUAAUUUAAAAAAAAUAUUGAUUUGUGGAGUCAAAAAUGUUUAGGUAAACUUUAAAUU